rnacentral:lncRNA from 1 species
ACGUGAUGACCCUCAAAGUCUACGCCUUUCGACUGAUCAAGUGAUUCGGCUGAUGAGGGAUCGAAUCAGCCGAGUUCGAAAACUUAUAUUACAGAAUCGGUUCGGCUGAAUACGCCGAAUAGGAUAUUGCUCAGUGUUUUGGGGUCGGCUGAUGAGCUGAAUGGCCUUUAUAUAUUGAAACUUAAAGUUGGAAACUCGUACAAAAGAGAGUGUGCCUGUAAGGCAUACAGACUCUAAAACUCUAACUUAAAGACAACUCUUAGAAAAGGCAGCAAAUGCAGGAAAAGAAAGAUUACAGAUAGACUACUUCUAGGAAAAAGAAAAAUGCGUGGAAAGAGAAAAGUGGUCUUCUGUUCGCUGGGAAAAGACCCUUCUUCCAGGCGUUACUCUCCUAUUUAUACUCCGCGCAUUGUUAUUCGGUUAUGUUCACGAUCGGCCACUUCCCUAAUUUCAU